UACGGAGGGGGCUAGCGUUGUUCGGCAUUACUGGGCGUAAAGCGCACGUAGGCGGCUUUGUAAGUUAGAGGUGAAAGCCCGGGGCUCAACUCCGGAAUUGCCUUUAAGACUGCAUCGCUAGAAUUGUGGAGAGGUAAGUGGAAUUCCGAGUGUAGAGGUGAAAGUCGUAGAUAUUCGGAAGAACACCAGUGGCGAAGGCGACUUACUGGACACAUAUUGACGCUGAGGUGCGAAAGCGUGGGGAGCAAACAGG
rnacentral:rRNA from 1 species